UACAGAGGAUCCAAGCGUUAUCCGGAUUUAUUGGGUUUAAAGGGUGCGUAGGUGGCCUGUUAAGUCAGGGGUGAAAGACGGUAGCUUAACUAUCGCAGUGCCUUUGAUACUGACGGGCUUGAAUACACUAGAGGUAGGCGGAAUGUGACAAGUAGCGGUGAAAUGCAUAGAUAUGUCACAGAACACCAAUUGCGAAGGCAGCUUACUAUGGUGUCAUUGACACUGAGGCACGAAAGCGUGGGGAUCAAACAGG
rnacentral:rRNA from 1 species